AUUCGAUCCUUUUUGCCCCAACCCCCUUGUCUUCUUCCUCGCCGCUCCUCCCCUUAAACCCUCACCCAUGGCGGCCCGCCCAUGCUCCCGCGGCUACCCGAAACUCCGGCGUCUCCUCUCCUCUGCUGCCGCGGCGAACCUUCCCCUCCUGUGCUCCUAAAGGCGCAUGGCCGAGGCCCUCUCCCUGGUAGAUUUGGACGAAUGCCACCGGCCGGCCACCCCGUCUCCUCUCCCCAGCGAGAUCUAGGCUGCAUCCCCAAAGGCAACUGAAUACACUCCCUCUCCAACCCAAGCUAGCUUUGAUCCGGCGCCGUGCGGCCGGCGUCCCCAACAAUCGCGGCUUCCAACCCGUCGCCGCCCUCCCGCACGCUUGCGCCCUCCGAGAGCGUCGCGCGGCCCUGCAUUUCGUUUCGGGUAAGCCCUGAGACUUCGGAACAGACAACCAUCCACUUUAUGCGUCCUGUUUGCACGAUAUUUUUCUGAUCUUGUAAAUGCCACAAUUGCUAGUUCAGUACCUGCUCCUGUGCAGCGUUAGUGUUGGCGACUCAAAUUUGGAACAAGCCGUGCUAUUGUAGUGUAAGAAGUAAUAAAGCACAACAAGAGAGAGAAUACAAUACGUGAGUAUUAAAUAAAUAAAUGCAUCUCUCAUGGCCAUAGUGCAAUCUGUUUAGCAGGAAGAGAAAUCUGUUUGGCAACCAAGGCCAUCUUGCAUUGUAGCAGCAAGAGAUGGGACGACGUUGGGUAGGGGCGCCAAUGCGUGAGGGGAGGGGAUGGGAGAAAUGAAUUUGAGAGAGGGGAGAGUGACAGGAGAGAGUAGGGAUUCGGGGAGGAUAUACGGGGACUUGAGGGCUGUUAACCUACCUUGUACUUAGUAGUAGCGAGGGGUAAAAACCCGCACUACUACUACCAACUUAAUAGUAGCGCUGGUUUAUACCCCUCUUGUAGCCAGUUGUGACUCCAAAUGUCCGUAGUGUUCCCGUUCCCAACUCUGCGGAUGAUUCCUUGCUUUAGCAUAUCUCAUCCGUCGAGAAUGGCCCUCCAGAUUUGUGACGACCGACUUCCAAGCUCAGCAUCCAGGAAACCUGCAUCAGGGAAGUAGGCGGCUUUCAGGAUGCGCGAGCUCAACGACGUCGGCUUACUUAAGACUCGCCAGGCCUGUUGUGCAAGUAGAGCAAGGUUGAAGAUUUCCAUGUCACGGAACCCUAGGCCGCCCAGAUGUUUCGGCAAUUUCAUCACAUCCCAUGCCACCUAGCUAGGUUUCCGCUUCCCCGCCUUGCUCCUUCACGAGAAAUGCCGGAUUAUAGAUGUUAUGUUGUCACAAAGUCCUCUUGACGGUCUAAAACAAGCCAUGGAGUACACUGACAGCGCCUAGGCCACUCUUUGAUUAAAACUUCUUUGCUUGCGACUGAUAAAAGCUUCUCCAUCCAACCCUUGAUUUUCUCCCAAACCCUGUCCCUUAAGCACUUGAAUGUGUCUAUCUUGGAUUGACCCACGUCAGUUGGCAUGCCCAAAUACCGUUCGCUUACUGACUCAUUAUGGAAGUUAAGAGUCCCUUUGAUACUGUCUCUCAACUCCUGCGGGCAUCCCUUGCUAGAGAAAAUAGAUGGAUUCAUGAGAUUCAUUCUUUGCCCUGAUGCAUUGCAGUAUGUUUCCAACAGGUUUGAUACCUCCAUGGUUCCCUCAUUACUAGCUUUGAACAGCGGCAGGCUAUCAUCCGCAAAUAGGAGGUGAUUAACCGAUCGGGCACUCGGAGCCACCUUGACCCCAUUGAGCGCGGAUGAUUGAGAACUGAAUUUGAGGAUGCACGAAAAGCCCUCUAACUACGAUUAGAAAUAGAUAUAAAAAUAUUGGAUCAUUCUCUCAAAUACCCUGCGAAGUGUUGCAAGACUCGAGUUUCUCGCCAUUCUCUCCCGUGGCUAAUCAACCGGAAUUUCCUAUUCGCCGCUCGCUGCGGAAAAUAGUCACCGCUUCGCACAGGGGGUGCGAGCGAGCGACUGGGUUUGGGCCGGCCCGUUCAAACUUUCACGAUUCCGGUUUUGGGAACCUUCUAGAGGUUUCCACCCGUUUUUUCUGGUUUUGGGAAACUUCUAGAAGGUUCCCCGAACCAUUUUUUUUUAUUUUUCUGUUUUUGUUUCUUUCUUUCUAUUUUUGUUUGAAAAUUGUUCUGAAUUUUUAAAAAAUGUUCUGGAAUUUGAAAAAAUGUUCCGGAAUUUGAAAAAAUGUUCAAGAUUUUGAAAAAAUGUCCCGAAUUUGUAAAAAUGAUUUGGAAUUUGAAAAAAUGUUCCAGAAUUUGGAAAAAUGUUCCAGAAUUUGUGAAAAUGUUCCGGAUUUUGAAAAAAUGUUCCGAAAUCUGAAAAAAUGUUCCGGAAUUUAAAACUGUUCAAGAUUUUGAAACAAUGUUCUCGAAUUUGAAAAAAAAAAUCAGAAUUUGAAAAAAUGUUCCAGAAUUUGGAAAAAUGUUCCAGAAUUUGUGAAAAUGUUCCGGAUUUUGAAAAAAUGUUCCGAAAUCUGAAAAAAUGUUCCGGAAUUUAAAACUGUUCAAGAUUUUGAAACAAUGUUCUGGAAUUUGAAAAAAAAAUCAGAAUUUGAAAAAAUGUUCCGGAAUUUUAAAAAAUGUUCAAGAUUUGAAAAAAAAUGUUCCGAAAUUUGUAAAAAUGUUCCGGAUUUUGAAAAAAUGUCCCAAAAUUUAAGAAAUGUUCCGGAAUUUAAAAUUGUUCAAGAAAAAUGUUCCGGAAUUUGUUAAAAUGUUCCGGAAUUUGAAAAAUGCUACGGAAUUUGAAAACUGUUCCAGAAUUUGAAAAAAUGUGAAAAGGAAACAAACAAAUUUGGGAACAUUUUUUCGAGAAAGGGCUGGAAUUUGAAAUAAUCGUGGCAUUACAAAACUGUUCCUAAUUUUGAAUAAAAAAAUUGAAAUCCAAGUUUCAACCUCCGCUAUACAUUGUUAUAUUAUUCUGCGCCUUUUACGACAAGAAGCUGAUAUUGGUUUGUUGGCUAAAUUCUGUUACUCUCGAUUCUUUUUUGCGGCCUCGUAGAAAAACAGCAAAAGCACGGUCAGUGGGUCGGCCCAGGCAGAGAGCUGCCUGUGCGAAACCGGGUCAUCCGGGUCAUCCUGCCGCAGAAUGCGGCGUAUAGGAGCUCCCCAAUCAGCCACCACGCGUGUGCUUUUGCUCCCUGUGACGGGCCGCUCGGCGUUAACACUAGUAUCAUGGGCUGUUGUUGUUGGCCCAUGUUUCCCAGUUCCAUUGGCCAAAGACUCGGAAUCUUUCGGCUGCGGGCCCGUGGGGGACAGAGCGCUUUCGCCUUUUUCAUUACUCUAAAAAAAACAAUUAGCCUUUCCAUUAUUCGAUCCUUUUUGCCCCAACCCCCUUGUCUUCUUCCUCGCCGCUCCUCCCCUUAAACCCUCACCCAUGGCGGCCCGCCCAUGCUCCCGCGGCUACCCGAAACUCCGGCGUCUCCUCUCCUCUGCUGCCGCGGCGAACCUUCCCCUCCUGUGCUCCUAAAGGCGCAUGGCCGAGGCCCUCUCCCUGGUAGAUUUGGACGAAUGCCACCGGCCGGCCACCCCGUCUCCUCUCCCCAGCGAGAUCUAGGCUGCAUCCCCAAAGGCAACUGAAUACACUCCCUCUCCAACCCAAGCUAGCUUUGAUCCGGCGCCGUGCGGCCGGCGUCCCCAACAAUCGCGGCUUCCAACCCGUCGCCGCCCUCCCGCACGCUUGCGCCCUCCGAGAGCGUCGCGCGGCCCUGCAUUUCGUUUCGGG
rnacentral:lncRNA from 1 species